GACGAACGCUGGCGGCGUGCCUAAUACAUGCAAGUAGAACGCAGUUGCGAACGGGUGAGUAACGCGUAGGUAACUGCCUCAUAGCGGGGGAUAACUAUUGGAAACGAUAGCUAAUACCGCAUACUGUGAGAUGGACCUGUGUUGUAUUAGCUAGUUGGUGAGGUAAAGGCUCACCAAGGCGUCGAUACAUAGCCGACCUGAGAGGGUGGUCGAGCACACUGGGACUGGGACACGGCCCAAGCUCCUACGGGGGGCAACAGUAGGGAAACUUCGGCAAUUGGCGGAAGUCUGGCCGAGCACAGCCGCGUGGGUGGAAGAAGGUUUCUGAUCGUAAAAGUCUGUUGAGUGAGGAGCGUUACCUACCCAAGAAGGAACGGCUAACUCCGUGCCAGCAGCCGCGGUAAUUC
rnacentral:rRNA from 1 species